CGAGCCACCGUGUCGGACGUCGCUCCUGGCGGCGGUGGCCACCAAAACAACAACUGAAGCCAUCACUAGGAUUCGCUCUUCACACUCUAUUAAACUCUCCAUCCAAUUUCUAGAAAUUGAGAACCUAAGGACCUAACCGAAGCUAAAUGUUCCAAGAACCCUAAUACAACAAAUCCAAAUUAAAUCCCAUUCUCAAUGGUUAAAAACCCCAGUGAUGAGGGCUUUGAACCCUCUCACCAUAACCUACACAUUGGUAACAAGAAAAACGAAGGACCAGGAGAUUUUUGACAUACCUUACCGGAGAAGACGGUGUAAACGGCGACGAACUUCCAGGAUUGAAUGGCUUAGAUGAAGCUUGGUCUUGGACCAUGAUUUAUGCAGCAUAACUAGGUUGGUUUUUGCACAUGCUGCAUGACAGGUUUCCAUUUGUCCUUGACAUUAUAUUGGUAGGUUUGUGGUUAGUCACAGGGAUGUUGUGCAGGAUUAGUGCAUUUCCAAUUGCUUCUUGCUGCACCAGUUUGCAGGGUAGCAAAUAAUGGAUGAAAGGUCAUGGUAUUCUAGGCUUGCAAAGUGCUUAGCAGGUUCUUACGUUAUUUCUAGCAAUAGGUUAAAGCCAAUUGAGAAAUGCAUUGCAGUGACAUCAUGAUUCUCAUGUCCACUGCAGGUUACUAGGUUCCAAUCUUGAGCACCUUGGCAUGUUCAGUACUACUGCAGGUUCUUGGAGCUUGGAUAUGUUGCAAGUCUGGUGUGGUGCAGAAUUAGAAUGCACUGAUUCAGGAUCCCUAUGGUUGACUGCAACCUUCCUUUGGCUUGUGCAUUGAUGAUGUUGGCAGCGUGUUACGAUAUACUACAGGUCAUGUUAGCUGCAGGUAUGCAGAUGGUUUUGCAUUGCCCUGCCUAGGUAUGAAGGUUGCACAUCUGGUUUGGCUUCUUCCUUUUUUUGGGUAUUGAUUUAUGUGGUUAUUGUGUCAACUCUAUUUUUGAACUACAAGGUGCAUUGCAGAAUUGGGUAUGUUGCAGUAAACAGGUAAGACCAAUGUGUUGAUGCAGGAUCGUGGUCAUGGUGUUGAUACAAGUUAUGGACUUGGAAUGAUGGUGAUAUGGUGGUCCUGGUACAAGCCCUUGCUACAUCAUGUGGGUGUAAUAACAAUGCAAAUGGUAGCAUGUGUGAAUUUGAAGAUGGAUCAACUAGUUGUUUGAUGGACUAUUGUUUGGAGUUUUGUUCAAUGCUUGUACUGAAAACUACUGCGACCUGGAUGUAUUUGUGUCAUUGAUGAUAGCAAAUGCUAGUUGGACUGUUGUGCAGAAUGUUGUGCAACUUGAAAUGGCCAUGUGGAGGUUUAACAUAUCAUGUGUGUUGCGGGUUUUGCUCAUGGUUUGCAAGUGAUUGACCCAACCAGUUUGUGCAGCUGCAGGAUGACUUCUUCAUGGCUUGUUCCUGGUUAUGCUGUUAUGGUUGGAUGUUGGUUGUUGAAUUGUCAAUGCAGGCUUGAUGUAUGAAGUGAAGUGAGUCCAGGUUGUGGCUUUGGUAGUUUGUUAGAUGGUGUUUUGUUGGUUCUGCAUUGUAACAGUUUUAUUCAAGUCAUGGCAAGUAUUGUGUCAUUUCCCUUGUCCAAUUAAUGUUUGUGCAUUAGGUUUGAUGAUGGCCUUGCAUUUUUGACUUGUAUUCUGCAGCCUAGGUGCAUCAUGGUUUAUGGCCUUCAUGUUUGAACAAUAUAAUGAUAUCAAGGUUGGAUUUUAAGGUAACAUGUACAAUUGGUUGUUCAAGGAUCAAAAUAGAACAUGGAAGAUUAGGGAUUGGGAAUUUUAGUUUUUAGGAUGGAAAGGGCUUGGGUUGACUUUGGUCAACAUUGACCAAAAAGUCAACACUUGGUCAAAGUUGCGAAAACUUGUAAUUUUUCAUGUAAUGAUCAAUGUAAUGGCUUAUAAAUGGUUAUAUGGAAGU